UCUUCCGUAGUAUAGUGGUCAGUAUGUGAGCUUGUCAUCAAAGCGCGACAUCGCUCGAGACCCGGGUUCAAUUCCCGGCGGGAGAG